rnacentral:rRNA from 1 species
ACACUCCUGCGGGAGGCAGCAGUGGGGAAUAUUGGACAAUGGGCGCAAGCCUGAUCCAGCCAUGCCGCGUGAGUGAUGAAGGCCCUAGGGUUGUAAAGCUCUUUCACCGGAGAAGAUAAUGACGGUAUCCGGAGAAGAAGCCCCGGCUAACUUCGUGCCAGCAGCCGCGGUAAUACGAAGGGGGCUAGCGUUGUUCGGAAUUACUGGGCGUAAAGCGCACGUAGGCGGAUCGAUCAGUCAGGGGUGAAAUCCCAGGGCUCAACCCUGGAACUGCCUUUGAUACUGUCGAUCUGGAGUAUGGAAGAGGUGAGUGGAAUUCCGAGUGUAGAGGUGAAAUUCGUAGAUAUUCGGAGGAACACCAGUGGCGAAGGCGGCUCACUGGUCCAUUACUGACGCUGAGGUGCGAAAGCGUGGGGAGCAAACAGGAUUAGAUACCCGGGUAGUCCCAUG